UCUACUAAAAAUACAAAAAUUAGCUGGGCAUGGUGGUGCGUGCCUGUAAUCCCAGCUACUCAGGAGGCUGAGGCAGGAGAAUUGCCUGAACCCAGGAGGCGGAGGUUGUGGUGAGCUGAGAUCGCGCCAUUGCACUCCAGCCUGGGGAACAACAAAACUCCCGUCUCAAAAAAAAAAAAAAAAGGUUUGGGAACCUCCGCUUAGAUUUCAGAGGAUGUAUAGGAACAGCUGGGUGUCCAGGCUGAAGUGUGCUGCAGGGGCAGAGUCAUGGAGAACCUCUGUGAGCGCAGGACAGAGGGAAAUGUGGGCUCAGAGCUCCUCCCCCAACAGUAACCACUGGGGCACUGCUUAGCGGAGCUCUGAGAAAAGGGCCACUGUCCUGUGGAACCCAGAAUGGGAGAUCCACGGACAGCUUGCACUGUGCACCUGGAAAAGCCACACUCAACAAACACCAGCCUGUGAACGCAGCCAGGAGGGGGCUUGGUUCACAGGGGACCUUGGGAAGCCACCUCUUGCAUCAGCAUGACCUGGAUGUGAGACAUGGAGUCUUAGGAGGUCAUUUUGGGGCUUAGGAUCUGACUGUCCUGCUGGAUUUCAGGCUGGCAUGGGGCCUGAUGUGGCCAAUGUCUCCCGUUUGGAAUGGGCGUAUUUACCCAAUGCCUGUGCACCCGUUUCUGGGAGGUAACUUGCUUUUGAUUUUGCAGGCUCACAGCCAGAAGGGACUUGCCUGGUCUCAGAUGAGACUUUGGACUUGGACUUUUGGAUUAAGGCUGGAAUUCGAUAAGACUCUGGGGAACCGCUGGACGGAUGAAGUCUAACUUUGUCACCAGGCUGGCAUGUAGUGGCACGAUCUUGACUCACUGCAAUCUCCGCCUGCCGAGUUCAAGCAAUUCUCCUGCCUCCAGAGUAGCGGGGACCACAGAGGGAAACAUGCUCACCCACCAUGAAUUAUGCUGCUGGCUGUGUUUCUCGUGGAUGCUGUAGGAGGCAGAAUAGUGCACCCAGCAAAGAUGGUCACGUCCUAACCCCUGGACAAUGAAAUGAUGGGAGGCUGCACC